rnacentral:rRNA from 1 species
UACGUAGGCAGCAAGCGUUGUUCGGAGUUACUGGGCGUAAAGGGUGCGUAGGCGGCCCUGUAAGUAUGGUGUGAAAUCUCCCGGCUUAACUGGGAGGGUGCGCUAUAGACUGCGGGGCUCGAGUGUGGGAGAGGAAAGUGGAAUUCCUGGUGUAGCGGUGAAAUGCGUAGAUAUCAAGAGGAACACCUGAGGUGAAGACGGGUUGCUGGGCCGACACUGACGCUGAGUGCGCGAAAGCCAGGGGAGCAAACGGG